rnacentral:rRNA from 1 species
UACAGAGGGUGCAAGCGUUGCUCGGAAUCAUUGGGCGUAAAGGGCAGGUAGGUGGUCUGAUUUGUCUGGAGGUGAAAGCCUUGGGCUUAACCCAAGAAGUGCCCCGGAAACGGUCAGACUUUGAGUCUUGGAGAGGGUUGCGGAAUUCCCGGUGUAGCGGUGAAAUGCGUAGAGAUCGGGAAGGAACACCAGCGGCGAAGGCGGCAACCUGGACAAGCACUGACACUCAACUGCGAAAGCGUGGGGGAGCAAACAGG